AGGACGAACGCUGGCGGCGUGCUUAACACAUGCAAGUCGAGCGGAAAGGCCCUUCGGGGUACUCGAGCGGCGAACGGGUGAGUAACACGUGAGCAACCUGCCCUUAGCUCCGGGAUAGCUCCGGGAAACCGGAAUUAAUACCGGAUAUGACCUAGGCCGACAUCGGCUGUGGUGGAAAGUUUUUCGGCUGGGGAUGGACUCGCGGCCUAUCAGCUUGUUGGUGGGGUAAUGGCCUACCAAGGCGACGACGGGUAGCCGGCCUGAGAGGGCGACCGGCCACACUGGGACUGAGACACGGCCCAGACUCCUACGGGAGGCAGCAGUGGGAAUCUUGCGCAAUGGGCGAAAGCCUGACGCAGCGACGCCGCGUGGGGGAUGAAGGCCUUCGGGUUGUAAACCCGUUUCAGCAGGGACGAAGCGAAAGUGACGGUACCUGCAGAAGAAGCGCCGGCUAACUACGUGCCAGCAGCCGC
rnacentral:rRNA from 1 species